CGGCCACCGCUAUUGGAAUACGAUUAAGACAUGCGAGUCGAGAGACGUAAGGUCUCGGCGGACCGCUCAGUAACACGUGGAUAACAUGCCCUAAGGUGGAGGAUAACCUCGGGAAACUGAGAAUAAUACUCCAUAGGUCUAGGAUGCUGGAAUGCUUCUAGGCCCAAAACUCCGGUGCCUUAGGAUUGGUCUGCGGCCUAUCAGGCAGUAGUGGGUGUAACGGACCCACUAGCCCGUGACGGGUAUGGGCCUUGAGAGAGGGUGCCCAGAGAUGGACUCUGAGACAUGAGUCCAGGCCCUACGGGGCGCAGCAGUCGCGAAAACUUCGCAAUGGGGGAAACCCCGACGAGGGAAUUCCAAGUGCUAGCACUUUGUGUUAGCUGUUCUUCUGUCUAAAAAACAGGAGAAGUAAGGGGCGGGUAAGACGGGUGCCAGCCGCCGCGGUAAUACCCGCGCCCCGAGUGGUGGUCGAUAUUAUUGAGCCUAAAACGUCCGUAGCCGGUUUCCUAAAUCCUUGGGUAAAUCGGGCAGCUUAACUGUCCGAAUUCCGAGGAGACUGGGAAACUUGGGACCGGGAGAGGUCAGAGGUACUUCUGGGGUAGGGGUAAAAUCCUGUAAUCCUGGAAGGACCACCGGUCGCGAAGGCGUCUGACUAGAACGGAUCCGACGGUGAGGGACGAAGCCCUGGGGCGCAAACGGGAUUAGAUACCCCGGUAGUCCAGGGUGUAAACGCUGCGGGCUUGGUGUUGGGGGUCCUUAGUGGGCGCCCAGUGCCGGAGAGAAGUUGUUAAGCCUGCUGCUUGGGGAGUACGUCCGCAAGGAUGAAACUUAA
rnacentral:rRNA from 1 species